UCCGCCGCCGCCCGAACCCCGCCGCCUCCUUCCCACCGCCGUCCUGUCCUCCCCUGCUCCUGCUCUCCUCCCCGCCGCCGCCCCACCUCUCCUCCUCCUCCCCGCCAUCCCCGUCCCCGGCUGCUGCUCCUCCUCCUCCCUCCUCCCCGCCUCCGACGCGGCAACCAAUCUCGGCGCUGGCGCCGCUCGCGCCGCACGGGCCAUCGUUCUCCUUUCCCCCUCAUCCUCGGCGCUCCCGCGCAAUGCGGCGCACGCGCGGCCUCCUCUUCCCCACCGGUUUUCUCCUCCUUCCCGCCGCUGCCCCAUCUCCGUGCCGCCACCUCACCGCGCAAGAUGGUGGUGGGCAGCGACGACGCCACCGGGCUGCGGUGCGGCGCCAGGCGCGUGCCCUGUCGGUGUCCGGCACCGCCGCUGCGCCGCGCGAGCGGGCCCCACUGGUGGCCACCGGCGUUGUUACCCCCCACCCCCCGGCGCUGCCUGCUCCCGUAGUUUAACGCCUGAUGCUGUGCUCCACGAAAGCCUAGUGACGGCCGCCGGCGUGACGACUACCCGAUGUCCGGCGGACGCUACCCGAUGUCCGGCGGACGCUUAAUGCUUACCACCGCCCUGCUCCACUUUGCGCAAGACAGGCGCCAGCACAGGAAGCGGGGGUGGAGGCGCGUAGGCCCGCGCACGCAGGUGGCGGCGGCAAGGCGCCAGCCCUCGCUCCCAGGCAGCAACAACGGCGACGGCGCUGCGGUGCGGUGGACCGGGAGGCUGGGAGCAAGCGACCCGGCCGCGGUGCCAGCGGCGGAUGGGACUCCGACCACGUCCGGCGCCUGCACCGCCACGCGCCCGUCGACCACGAGGGCAGCUCCACCCUCGUCCAGCACAUCAAGGUGCCCGUCCACCUCGUAAGCUCCGUUCCAUCCUCCUCCUCACUGCAGUGGUUGGAUAGCAGCUACACCGCUGCAAUUCCAUCCCUGCUGACUACAAGUGCUUCGUCCAUGGAGGAUUUACGCCAUGUGUUUCAUGGUUUGCUCGUGCAACUUGUGCUUCGGCAAUGGAGGAUGCAGUCUAUGUGUUUGAUGGUUUGCCUCUGCAGCACCGACCAAUUAACCAUGCUAGAUUUAGCUAACAGGGACUCCUAUUUGACGGAAAAAAGACACAUUCAGGCUACUUGCCUUGUCUAAGAUAAUGUUUCUAGGUCGGAUAUGAUUUUUAUUUUUUAAGCAAUAAUUUAAGCAAGUUAAAUGUACCUGGGAUAUGAUGCUCCUUUGUCGGUCUCACAUAAAAAAAUCCGACAAAAUAACACGUUUGCAUUAAUAAAAUAACAACCGUUGUUUAUCCUUUGCAAUUAAGCUCAUCAUAUGUUUUUUGUGGCAAGAUCUUACCUGAUGUAACCAUACUUUAUUUCAUAUAUAGAGAUAGAGAUUUUUCUAGCCAAGAUUUAUACCACCAGCUGUAGCUGAGGAGGGCUCGUGCUUAUAAAGGUAAUGAGGUUUCUUGAGUGCUUUGCAAUUAGUUUUCUUGACUGCUGCUGUAUCUCUAUAGUAGCUAUUGCUAUUCUUCUAUCCUUGUAGACCAUUUACAAUAAAUAGUGCAUGUAUUAUAAUGAUCCCACGCUAGAGUAUCGUACGGUUGAGUUCUUUUUUUGGCCAUAGGGAAACUUAGAGAUACUUUGUUAACAAAGUUUUUUUUACAAUGCUAAAUCGCAGUUAAUACUUAUCUGAUGUUCAAAACUAAUCUUUUGUUUGAUUGGGAUAUAUACAUAUGCAGAUUGGUAUUUGCACCUUCAGGUAUCUUUUAGACAAUUGGUUCAAUGGAACUAUGCAAAACUCACCACAGUAAGGGAUGUAUUUUUCAACAAAAGUAUUUCACAUUGUUUUUUCCCAAAUGCGUAAUUAUGGCGGAAGAUAAGGGAAAAGAGAGGUUGUUGAUAAGCUCCUUCAGUUUGUAGGAAAUCAAUAUUUAUGUAAACCUUUAUUAGCUAUUCACACAAUUGAUUUAACUAUCCACUCUGAUUUUGACUUGCUUACUUACAUUUAUUUUCUUAGUCCUUGUUUCAUGGCCAGGGAGAUACUAUUUGUGGUACUGAUUAAAAGUAGAAAGUUUCUUCUUUUGCUAAGCUUAUUGUGAUAUGGUGAAAUGUUCCAUUUGCAUAAUGGAACAGAACAUACUUGAGAUGGCUAAGCUUGUUUAUGAACCUCAAAGUUCAGAAUUACAAAUCUAUUGUCUACGGCAAAAUUACAGAUAGGUUCAUAAUCUUCAGUCUUGAGCUCCCUACCAACAUCUAAUUAUGAAAUUUUUAUACGUCAAAAAGAUAUGAAUAUUUCAAUAUUCUGGAGUCUGAAUUUACAAACUUUUCUGUACACUACUUCCAUGAAUAAUGCACAUUAGGAUUAUAUAAAUUUUGCAGGCUACCAGUACACAUCUUCGGUGUGAUCAGUGCAACAAUGCUUGCUCUUCUGCUUGUUAGGUGAUGUCCUAUCGCUUGUGUGCCCUCCCAAAUCAUAAUUUCAAUUUUCUUAUCUGUCAAUGUUGUUAAUUAAUUACUUCAAUAUGCAUCGGCAAACCAUCGCUCUGAAUUGAUUUAGUGAAGUUAAGUGGCCACAUGCUCUUAAUCUUUGUAGCCAACUAUAGCUUUUAGUAAGGUAUGUGCACUGUACACACUAUACAAACCUUGUGCCACUACUUCCGUUCUACCAAUUACCAUGUAGCUUACCUUUUUAGAUCUGUAAAUUACUGCAGAAACUAGCCGACGAUCCUCACUGUAAAUAGAAUGACAGAAUGAUAGACCUCUUCAUGUUACCAGCACAUUUGCGUUUUGCUUUUCAGUGCUUUUCAGAAGACCAUAUAUGUAUCACUUUGUGGCUAUAUAUUUGAAUUGUAAAUAAACCACUGUUAUCAUCAGGAACAAUGAGCCAUUUAUUAGGCAACACUCAACAUUGUUUGAACGCAGAGGAAAGAGGACAAGCCGCCCAAUGGGUGUCAGCCAUGCCCAGUCAGCUUUAGUUGUCCUGCCUACCUCCUACCACCUGCAUAUAGACGUACCACCACCCAUCCAUCUGAAAUCUUUUUUCAUCCUCCUGUCUCUGCACCUGUCUGUUCCCCGUCCUUCUCCACCAAAAUCUUUAGCUAGCACUUAUUUUUCUCCUCGACUUCCACAGUCAAGUCCACGGCUGUUAGAACUUUGCGCCUCCACAGGUAACACAAGCUAGUGGAACAACAUGUGAAUGCAAGGAAGGUGGCUUCCCCGGUUGAAAAACAAUCCUGACAGAUGCAAUGGCUGCAAGUCUCUUUCAAUGGCCAUCCUUUCUUGUCAGCUCAGAAACAAGGGAUUUUCGUUGCACUUGCCCUGCAUUUUGACGUCUCAAGAGGUAUCAAGAACCGUUACUUCAACAGUGCAUUUUUGAGAUACACUGGGUUUGACAGUGACCAUCAUUGUAAUGAACUGGUCUCAAGCUGCACAGCCUGCUCUACUAUACAUUGUUCCUGGUGUGAUCAGUUUCGUUGUUGUUCACUAUUUGUGGAAUGGAGAAGUAAAACAGAAAUUGUUUUACCUCUCAUACAUAGAGAUAUAACUUUGUACAGCAAAUGAUAUUAUCAUUACAUGACUAUAAAAUAACCGCAAGGGCGCGCCAAGGCGCGCGCAAAGUACUCGUGAGAGAAGAAAUAUGGAAGAUAUAGAUGCCAUCCGGAGGCAUACAACCCAACUAGAAGAUGGAACUGCGGGAAUCGCAUAUCAAAUGGGACUUUUAGGUCUGGCGCCACCGAAACAAUUUAAUGGAGGAGCAUUUCAGCAGUAUUAUGAUCAAGGAUACAACGCAAGAGCCAAUCAAGGAGAUUGAUCGACGGCAUGACCAUGAAUAAAAUGCUCGCACGUGUGGUUUGGAUUUUCU